rnacentral:rRNA from 1 species
GAGGGACCACCCUCCAAGGCUAAAUACUACCUAGUGACCGAUAGCGUAUAGUACCGUGAGGGAAAGGUGAAAAGAACCCCGGGAGGGGAGUGAAAUAGAACCUGAAACCCUGCACUUACAAGCUGUGGAAGCACAUUUCUUGUGUGACCGCGUACUUUUUGUAGAACGGGCCAACGAGUUACGUUAAGUAGCAAGGUUAAGCACUUAAGGUGCGGAGCCGUAGCGAAAGCGAGUUUUAACUGAGCGUUCAGUUACUUGACGUAGACCCGAAACCGGGCGACCUACCCAUGAGCAGGAUGAAGCGAAAGUAAAAUUUCGUGGAGGUCCGAACCCACGAGCGUUGAAAAGCUCGGGGAUGACUUGUGGGUAGCGGUGAAAUUCCAAUCGAGCCCGGAGAUAGCUGGUUCUCCCCGAAAUAGCUUUAGGGCUAGCCUCAAGGUGAGAGAUACGGAGGUAGAGCACUGAAUGUCCUAGGGGGUAUUGCACCUACCGAAGACUAUCAAACUCCGAAUGCCGUCAUCUUAUACUUGGGAGUCAGACUGUGGGUGAUAAGAUUCAUAGUCGAAAGGGCAACAGCCCAGAUCGUCAGCUAAGGUCCCUAAAUGUAAGUUAAGUGGUAAAGGAUGUGGGAUUGCACAGACAACCAGGAUGUUGGCUUAGAAGCAGCCACUCAUUCAAAGAGUGCGUAAUAGCUCACUGGUCGAGUGAUCCUGCGCCGAAGAUUUCCGGGGCUAAAACUUACUACCGAAGCUACGGCAUCAGUAAUGAUGGGUAGGGGAGCUUCCCAUACGGGUUGAAGCAUGACCGUAAGGACAUGUGGACAGUAUGGGAGUGAGAAUGUUGGCAUGAGUAGCGAGAUGUGGGUGAGAAUCCCACAGGCCGUAAACCCAAGGUUUCCAGGGGAAGGUUCGUCCGCCCUGGGUUAGUCGGGACCUAAGCUGAGGCCGAAAGGCGUAGGUGAUGGACAACAGGUUGAUAUUCCUGUACUACCGAUAACCGUUUGAGAGAAGGGAUGACACAGUAGGAUAAGCUAAGCACACUGUUGGUUAUGUGUGCCCAAGCAUUGAGGCAGUCAAAGUAGGCAAAUCCGCUUUGAUAAUGCUGGGAUGUGAUGGGGAGCGAAAUUUAGUAGCGAAGUAGCUGAUUUCACACUGUCAAGAAAAGUCUCUAUCGAGGUUAAAGGUACCCGUACCGCAAACCGACACAGGUGGGUGAGGAGAGUAUCCUAAGGCCAGCGAGAGAACUGUUGUUAAGGAACUCGGCAAAAUGACCCCGUAACUUAGGGAUAAGGGGUGCCACCAUCAGGUGGCCGCAGAGAAUAGGCCCAAGCGACUGUUUACCAAAAACAUAGGUUUCUGCUAAGUCGCAAGACGAUGUAUAGGAGCUGACGCCUGCCCGGUGCUGGAAGGUUAAGGGGAUCUGUUAGAGCAAUCGAAGCAGUGAACUUAAGCCCCAGUAAACGGCGGCCGUAACUAUAACGGUCCUAAGGUAGCGAAAUUCCUUGUCGGGUAAGUUCCGACCCGCACGAAAGGCGUAACGAUUUGGGCACUGUCUCAACAACAGACUCGGUGAAAUUGUAAUUCCGGUGAAGAUGCCGGAUACCUGCGACAGGACGGAAAGACCCCAUGGAGCUUUACUGUAGCUUGACAUUGGGUCUUGGUACUACAUGUACAGGAUAGGUGGGAGGCUUUGAAACCAGGACGCCAGUUUUGGCGGAGCCAUCCUUGGGAUACCACCCUUGUAGUACUGGGACUCUAACCAUAGGCCAUGAAUCUGGUCUUGGGACACUGUCAGGUGGGCAGUUUGACUGGGGCGGUCGCCUCCCAAAAGGUAACGGAGGCGCUCAAAGGUUCUCUCAGUACGGUCGGAAAUCGUACGUAGAGUGUAAAGGCAAAAGAGAGCUUGAUUGCAAGACAUACAGGUCGAGCAAGGAUGAAAAUCGGACUUAGUGAUCCGGUGGUUCUGCGUGGAAGGGCCAUCGCUCAACGGAUAAAAGCUACCCUGGGGAUAACAGGCUUAUCUCCCCCAAGAGUCCACAUCGACGGGGAGGUUUGGCACCUCGAUGUCGGCUCAUCACAUCCUGGGGCUGUAGUAGGUCCCAAGGGUUGGGCUGUUCGCCCAUUAAAGUGGUACGCGAGCUGGGUUCAGAACGUCGUGAGACAGUUCGGUCCCUAUCCGUCGCAGGCGUAGGAAAUUUGAGAAGACCUGUCCUUAGUACGAGAGGACCGGGAUGGACGUACCUCUGGUGUACCAGUUGUUCUGCCAAGGGCAUGGCUGGGUAGCUAUGUACGGAAUGGAUAAGCGCUGAAAGCAUCUAAGCGCGAAGCCAACUUCAAGAUAAGAUUUCCCACCGCAAGGGUAAGACCCCAGAAAGACUAUCUGGUUGAUAGGUCGAAGGUGUAAGUGCAGCAAUGUAUUUAGCUUAUCGAUACUAAUAGGUCGAGGACUUGACC